rnacentral:lncRNA from 1 species
AACGGUGGAAUUGUCCACAUCUUCAGCAGAAGUUCCGUGUGAAGACUGAGAGUGUGUCAUAAAUAUUUAGUAUGGUUAUUUACGUUUCAGUCCACUCCAUGGAGUACAAAAGCACCAUCCAUGUUAGAGUAUGAGCACACAUAACAGAUUGAAGAAGUGAGAGAAAGAGAUGAAGAAGGUGUUUGUCUUUGCAAUAGUGGUGGUGGCAGUGGUGGCGAUGGAGGUGGCUCCGACGGCAGAAGGUGUGACUUGUAGCCCUGUGGAGCUGAGUCCUUGUUUGGGAGCAAUAACUUCGUCAUCUCCACCAACAAGUACAUGCUGCCAGAAAGUGAGAGAACAGAGGCCAUGUCUCUGUGGUUACCUCAACAACCCUAGUCUCAAGAAUUACGUCAACUCUCCUGGUUCCAGAAGGGUUGCUAGUUCAUGUGGGGUUCCCUUCCCAACUUGUUAAUCUAAAUAAAAUCAUGUUAAGUAUUCUACCAACUUUUACAUCUCUGCUACGAUAUUGCGGUAGUUUUUUCAGUGAUCCAAUUAUAUGUAUGUAAUAAACCGUCUGUUUCAUUUGAUGGUGUUGCAGCGUGCUGGUUAGCUUUAAGAAAUUAUAAUAUGAUUGUGUUGUAUGUGUGAAUGAAAUGUUGAAGAAGAUAAUGGAAUAAAUUUGGUUCUUGAUUCUGUCAUUUUAUCUUCUUCUUCAGAAAAAAUAAGUGAUUGAUGAUCGUUUUUGACGGGCCACUUUGAAAAGGUCUAUGAACAGUUUAGGACUUUGGAGUCAACUGGUCAAGAUGAAUAAAGUACUGUUUGAAUUGACAUGUUUUUCAAUUUUCAAUUACAGAUGGCAGUUAUAAGAAUAUAUAAAUGUCGUUAAUUUUUUUUUUAAGAUAUAUGGAAAUAUGAGAGUUUUGAAAUAAAAUUCAAAUGAAAGGAAUGAUGGUGUAGUAAUAAUUAAUGUGUUGUAUUUUGGCACUUAAGUCUUUUUAAUUAGUAUGAAGACGUGGUUAGUAAUAAUGCUGGUGCAGAAAGAAAGUCAUUGUACAAGAUCAUGGUACUGGGCUAAAGCCCAUAAGUGAAAUUUUACUUCAAAUUAAGACCAAGUAAGAUUAUUUUUUUAUCAUCAUCAACAAUAUUAUUUUUUUUAUCAAUGUAAACUAAUGCUUUUUCAAAUUUAAUGUUGGUUAAAGUUUUUUUUUUCACACAUCAUUUGUAAAUUUUAUUUGAUAUCAAACACAUUUUGUUAUCAUGUCAAUUAAUAAGGUUGAUUAAAAUGUUUUCCUCAUCAAUAUUGAUAAGAGUUUCUUUUAUCCAACAAACACUAACAUUGAUGAUUUUUUUUUUUUAUCAAUUACUAAUAUCUAUCAACAUCUUUCCAUCAAUGUUGUUGAAACUCUUUUAAUGGAACUAAAUUAUAUUUUGCGCUUAAAAUUUCAAAUUCUUUUUUUUUUAUUUGUCUAGUUCUUUUAAAAAAACAAAUUGUAAUUAAAAUUCAAUAAACUAAAUUAACUUAUCCACAGAAAACAUUUAAAAAAUGAAAUAAUUAAAAUAUACACCAUUAAGUCUCAUAAAAGAUUUUUAAAUUUUUCUAUCCUAAUAGAAAGUAAAACUUAUAGAAGUUGUCUAACGAAAUCAUAUUUCAUUCUUUGAAGUAAACUUAGUUGAUACGUCGGUUUGGCAUAACAAAAUAAUAAUUAAUAUCAAUGGUCAAUAAUUUACGAACAAAAAGUUAAAGAAAAGACUUAGGCUUAAAACAUGUUAUUAGUUCGAUGGAACAUUUUCAAACAAAUAGUCAAGAGAAACAAAUAAUCAAAGGAAAAUGAAUAAAAAAACUUUUAAAAGUCAUAUAUGGAUGUACACCACACAAAAUUACAAGAGAAUCAUCCUUCGACAUUUAUUACUUUUGAAUAUACUGUAUUUUAUUGAACUCUGCAUGUAUAUCCUGAACAUUGAGUUUAACAUUAAAGUGUCUUAUAACAAAACUAAACAACGAAAGAAAAAAAAAAAACUUUGAAGAAGAAGAAUAAGCAUUGACAAGAGCAAUCAACCGCACAUAUCAAGUAUUAGUGUAUCUUUAGUCCUACAUACAAUAAUAACUUCCAAAUUAGUUUAAACCAGUUGUUAUAUACAUUAUUUUAUAUAUAUAUAUAUAUAUAUAUAUAUAUAUAUAUAUAUAUAUAUAUAUAUAUAUAUAUAUAUAUAUAUUAUAUAUAUUUAUUUAUUUAUUUAUUUAUUUAUUCUUGUAAUAAUUAAUAUAUUGCUAAAGAACAUAGUUAAUGUAUCUGCUACAAAAUAUAAAAAUUGCAUAAAUCUAUUUUUUUACGCAACAAGAAAAUUGUUACAAUCAAUUUUUUUUAACGUUGCACAUCUUGUUCUGCAAACUAUGGUGGUGGUUAUGAACAUUGGACUUCUUUCCUCCGUAGGUUAGGAGAUUUUCUUUUUCACUUAUCUAUACUUUUUCUACACCUAUAAAUAAAUGUUUUUUCUGACAUCCAAAAAAUAACACACAUAUCUCUUCUUUUAUUCUCACUUUUAUUUUCUCUUCUCUUUAUCUUUGUUCCUUAAUUUAUAUUUACUCUUUAAAAAUAUUUUUUGCUAGUUUUGAAUUUUUCAAUAUAAAGACAUUCUUAUUGUAUCCUAGAAAAUUUACAUAAAUAAAUAUUUAAAGACAAUAAUCAUGUACGUUUCAAGAAGUUUAUUUAAGCUGUGUUCUUAAUAAUUUUUUCAACAAUACAUAUAUUUUUUGUUUAAUUUAUAUCUUUCUAAAAUCUAUUAAUAAAACAAUACUUAUUAUAGACAUUUGUGAAAUAUUCGACUCAAGUUAUAACCCUACAAAAACAAUUAAAAAUUAAUGGCUCGUAACAAUGAAACGAAUCAGUAGUAAAACUAACUUUGUGUAUGCUGAGAUUAAAGUUGGAAAAGUUCUUUUUUUUUUCGAAAGUAAAAAAAAAUAAAAAUCAUUCUUCAUUUGUUAUGUUGGAAUUCUUUAAUGUAGUUUGAAAUCUAUAAAAGUAGUGUUGAAACGUCAAUAGGUAGAUUGUGUAGAAGUUUGAAAUGGGGUUUGAUAAUGGAAAUAUUUUGUGACAGAAUCUGUGGUUGAUGUGAUUACCUUCCUCGAACGUUGAAACAUGGAUGAGUGAAGAGUUUAAGAAUGUUAUCCCAGAAAGAGGUUUUCUGUUUGAAUUUUCCUUACUUGUGAUAAAGUCAUUGUUAAUUCGACCACAUCAUAGCAAAACGUAGGUAUUUUCCUUGCAACGUAAUGUCAGAAUUGAUUCAAGCCAUAUAAUUACACCAUGAGGUUACGUAAUUAUACUUUACAGUUUUUAUAGUUAGUUAACUUACUAUAGAAGGAUAAAUAAACUCAUAUUUUAUUAGUAUUAUUUAAAUUUGUCGUAAUUUUUAUAAUAUCACCUUUUUGUUUUAUGUUUAUUUUUUAUAAACAAAAAUGUUUGGUAAAUAUUUAGAUAGAUAUUAUUAUUAGAGUUGGAUAUUUAAGUUUGUCUGUUUAAAUCGACACUGGCAAUAAUCCUGUUAAAGGAAAUUGUGUCCUUAUAAUUAACAUUUGAAAUGAGUUGAACUUUAAUAGAUUGUAUCCAUCUCUAUAAAUCUAGCUAGUUAUACAAACUUAUUCAUAUUCACAAAAAUAUAAUUAAAAAUAAUUUUAAUAUGCUUCAAAUAUAACUUAAGUGCUUUUAAAAUAAAAUAAAUUUAAAUAAAAAUUUUAAUUUCAAAGUCAUUAGACAAUAAAUUACAUAAAAUACAAAAUAGUUUCAAAACAAUACAUAAAAAAAUAAAUUAAAAAAUUAAAGAAGAGUAAUAAAACUUUAGUUAGUGUGGCUUUAAGGAUCAAGAGAAGAAAACUUAUUAAUGUCAUAAUUAAAAAAAGUUAAAUAGAUUCAUUGGUCCCUAUUUUUGCUGGUUUUCUUCAACUAGGUCCUCGUUUUUUAAAAAUAAUCAAUUCGGUCCCUGAAUUUGUAAAAUUAAACCAAUCAAGGACAUUCCGUUAACUUUCCUGGACGGCGUUAAAAGUAGUCUAUGCUGGCAACGUUAGUUGGCAUUUUAUGAACAGGUGUCCCUUAUGCACGACCAGGAAAGGAAAAUCAUAUUGCCUUCAACAUGGCUUCAAUAGACUUCAAUACCUGCAUCCAGAAGACACUAUAGGAAAAUAGAAGCAUGAAUCAGAGGCAGUUUCCUUCGGCCUAUGACGCCAAACAUAAUGCCAAUAAGUGGUGGAAUCCAUCAACAGGCAUCAUUCAAAAAAGAGAAGAAAAGAGAAAAAACGUUUUCGUCCCUGUCAUUGGUGGUGGAGCUACUAGAGGUAGGUGGUAGCACUGCUGGAGGCGCCUGGAGUUUGAGGGAAAAGAAAGAAAACCCUCGAACAGAGAUGGAAUGUCCUUGAUUGGUUUAAUUUUACAUAAAUGAGAUUGAAGAGAGAUGGAUACCAUCAUCCUCAACCUGCACUACACCAAAGCCACAUAAAUGAGAACCAACCAUCAAGAACAAUCAUCACACCGGUCUCGCCUAGCCAUCGAACCCACUCCCUUCCUAACAACCACGGGUUCCCCAUCAUCAUCUCGCCAAUCCAUUUUAACACACUAUCAUCAUCAUAGAGUCAGCAAAAACUCACACAGAAUACCACAUAAUGAAACCAACAGUACCUGUCCUCUAUUCAUCCCUCACCUGCGUCAAAUGAGACCAACCCAUCAAAACCAGAUUCAAUACCUUAGUGUUGGUUUCGUUUUCUUGAGUCUUGGAAGAACACAGGUUUAAUCCAUAAACAGUUUCUCCCAAAUUUUGAUUCCCCUCGUCUACGAAAGAGAUGAAGCAAACCCAACUGUUUUGAGUUGCUCACGGCGCCACCAUCGUCGCUCUUCACCUUGUUCCUCUCGGUCUGGGCAAUUCUGAUUCCCUGCCUACCUUCUUCCCCCCUUUGCUUUAGAGUGUUAAGGUUGGGAAUUCCCCCAAUCCGCAAGUUACGUGAGUCGAAAUCGCAACCCCCUCUGUGGCGGUGACCACGAAUGCGAAGAGGAGGAAAGGAUUUUCCUUGUUGGCGACUCACAGUAGCUGUGACUUGUGGAUUCAGUGGCGGCGACUUCCUUCUCUUUGGCGAUGACGACUCCGGUGAGGAUCAGGAGAUAGAAAUAGAAUAGAAGAGGGGAAGGGCUUCCCUGCUCGCAAGCGAAGGUGAAAGGCGGUGGCGUGGUGGUCAGCAACCACCUUGGCGGCGACUGGUAACACCGAUGGCUCCGGCGUCAGCGAAGUCGCCGGCGAAAAAAAUUGAAGCUUUUGGAGGUCGACCUGUAUAUGGUUUCUUCAGAGGGUUGUGUGAAAGUUCAAUCGGUGAAAGGGGAAGAGGGUAUGGGAAACAGUUCUGGCAGCUUUCCUUUUCUAAGGUGGUGGCGUGAUGGCCGGUGCGAAGAAAGCAGCAGCUGCUUCGGCGGAAACCUUACAAAAGAAAAUCACACUUUUGGCCCUGGUAUCCAGAUGGCAGACCAUGUCAUGAGACCUCUUUACAGAAUGACAAUUACUGUUGCCAGCAAAGGUUGUUUUUAACGCCGUGUAUGAAAGUUAACGAAAUAUCCUUGAUUAGUUUAAUUUUACAAAUUCAAAAACCAGAUUAUUUUUAAAAAACAAAGACCUAAUUGAAAAAAACCAACAAAAAUAGAGACCAUUAAAUCUAUUUAUCUUUAAAAAAAUUAGUGAUACACAACAUUCAUUUGAUGUAGUAACAUUUGCUUUAAAUUCAUUUUAUUUAAAUUUCUAUGUCAGACUUUGAAUUAUUAAAUAUUUUGAAAAAAGUUACUUCCGACAUCUUUAGCAGAGGUUCAGUGCGAAGACCGAGGGUGGUUGUCAUUGAGUAUGUUUAUUUACCUUUCAGUCCUCUCCAUGGACACCAUAAAAAGCAUCCAUGUUAGAGUGUGAGCACAUAACAAACUGAAGAAGUGAGAGAAAGAGAUGAACAAGGUGUUUGUUUUUUCAAUUGUGAUGGCUGCAGUGGUGGCGAUGGAGGUGGCUCCGCCGGCAGAGGGUGUGACUUGUAGCCCUGUGGAGCUGAGUCCUUGUUCGGCGGCAAUAAUUUCGUCAUCUCCACCAACAACUGCUUGCUGCCAGAAACUGAGGGAACAGACGCCAUGUCUAUGUGGUUACCUCAAAAACCCUAGUUUCAGGAAUUAUGUCAACUCUCCUGGUUCCAGAAGGGUUUCUAGUUCAUGUGGAGUUCGCUUUCCAAUUUGUAUAACUAAAUAAACUCAUGUUAGGUAUUAUAAUAAACUUUCACACGUCUGCUACGACAUGCGAUAGUUUUUUCAGUGAUCCAAUUCAUGCAUGUAAUAAACUGAUGUUGCAGCGUUAGUUUCAAGGAAUUAAUACGAUGUGUGAAUGAGAUGUUGAAGAAGUUAAUGGAAUAAAUCUGGUUCUUGAUUCUCUCAUUUUCUCUUGUUCUAUAGAAACAAUUAUUUUUUUCUUUUGUCAACA